rnacentral:rRNA from 1 species
GAGUUUGAUCAUGGCUCAGAUUGAACGCUGGCGGCAGGCCUAACACAUGCAAGUCGAGCGGAUGACGGGAGCUUGCUCCUUGAUUCAGCGGCGGACGGGUGAGUAAUGCCUAGGAAUCUGCCUGGUAGUGGGGGACAACGUUUCGAAAGGAACGCUAAUACCGCAUACGUCCUACGGGAGAAAGCAGGGGACCUUCGGGCCUUGCGCUAUCAGAUGAGCCUAGGUCGGAUUAGCUAGUUGGUGGGGUAAUGGCUCACCAAGGCGACGAUCCGUAACUGGUCUGAGAGGAUGAUCAGUCACACUGGAACUGAGACACGGUCCAGACUCCUACGGGAGGCAGCAGUGGGGAAUAUUGGACAAUGGGCGAAAGCCUGAUCCAGCCAUGCCGCGUGUGUGAAGAAGGUCUUCGGAUUGUAAAGCACUUAAGUUGGGAGGAAGGGCAGUAAGUUAAUACCUUGCUGUUUUGACGUUACCGACAGAAUAAGCACCGGCUAACUCUGU